rnacentral:rRNA from 1 species
CCGGCAUCGGAUUGAUCUAGCCAUGCGAGUCUUUGUAGUAAUACAAGGCAGACGGCUCAGUAACGCGUACCCUACCUAACCUAUGGACGGGAAUAACCUCGGGAAACUGACCCUUAUGCCCGAUAGAACACUAUGCCUGGAAUGGUUUGUGUUCCAAAUGAUUUAUCGCCGUAGGAUGGGACUGCGGCCUAUCAGUUUGUUGGUGAGGUAAUGGCCCACCAAGACUAUUACAGGUACGGGCUCUGAGAGGAGUGGCCCGGAGAUGGGUACUGAGACACGGACCCAGGCCCUAUGGGGCGCAGCAGGCGAGAAAACUUUGCAAUGUGCGAAAGCACGACAAGGUUAAUCCGAGUGGUUUCUGCUAAAGGAACCUUUUGUCGGUCCUAGAAACACCGAUGAAUAAGGGGUGGCAAGUUCUGGUGUCAGCCGCCGCGGUAAAACCAGCACCUCAAGUGGUCAGGAUGAUUAUUGGGCCUAAAGCAUCCGUAGCCGGAUCUGUUAGUUUUCGGUUAAAUCUGUACGCUUAACGUACAGGCUGCUGGGAAUACUGCAGAUCUAGGGAGUGGGAGAGGUAGACCGUACUCGGUAGGAAGGGGUAAAAUCCUUUGAUCUAUUGAUGACCACCUGUGGCGAAGGGGGUCUACCAGAACACGUCCGACCGUGAGGGAUGAAAGCUGGGGGAGCAAACCGGAUUAGAUACCCCGGUAGCCCCAGCUGUAAACUAUGCCAACUCAGUGAUGCAUUGUCUUUGUGGCCAAUGCAGUGCUGCAGGGAAACCGUUAAGUUUGCCGCCUGGGGAAGUACGUACCCCAGUAUGAAACUCAAAUGAAUUGACGGAAUU